GCCGAUGUAGCUCAGUCGGUAGAGCGCAUCCUUGGUAAGGAUGAGGUCACCAGUUCAACCCUGGUCAUCGGCUCCA
rnacentral:tRNA from 3 species